rnacentral:rRNA from 10 species
GCGCCCGAUCUCGUCUGAUCUCGGAAGCUGAG